GAAAAAGGCUCCUCCAGACAUGCAAUGCAUGGACGCUUAGUUUCUCCUUCAAUGUGUAAAAACCAAUGAUGGUGCAACUCCAAAGGAUAUUACUCCAGAACUGGAAGAACGUGAGUUCCUUAUUCUGUCAACUAUGGUAUGAUGGCAUGAACCAUCUUGUUUUUACAAUUGGAACGUGUGAAUAUUUGAUAUUGUGAUGGAGCUUCACCUGCUGGAGAUGCAGUAUAUAAGAAUUGCGUGUGAAUGUGCGUGUGAAAUGAAUGACAGACAUCGUUGCUCUAUUUCAGAGGGUAGAAGCUUUGGGAAGCCAUCAUUCUUGAUCUUCUACCUAAAGGUUUAGGAAAGGCGCAUAAGGAACAAUCUUUCUCUCCCUCAUGGCAGGAGGAUUGUCUCAUUAAAGUGACAACUCGCAAGUAUACGGUAAAUAAAUAAUUUGCUUGUGUGUAAGGUUAGC